rnacentral:rRNA from 1 species
GACGAACGCUGGCGGCGUGCUUAACACAUGCAAGUCGAACGGAAAGGCCCCUUUGGGGGUACUCGGUUGGCGAACGGGGGAAUAACACGUGAAUAACCUGCGCUUGACUUCGGGAUAACUUCAGGAAACUGGGGCUAAUACCGCUAAGGAAUCCUUGCUGCAUGGUGUGGGAUGGAAAGCCUCGGCGGUUUUGGAUGGCUUCGCGGCUUGUCAGCUUGUUGGUGGGGUAGUGGCUUACCGAGGCUGUGACGGGUAGCCGGCCUGCGCGGGCGACCGGCCACGUUGGGACUGAGAUACGGCCCAGACUCCUACGGGAGGCAGACGUGGGGAGUAUUGCUCAAUGGGCGGAAGCCUGAUGCAGCAACGCCGCGUGCGGGAUGACGGCCUUCGCGUUGUAAACCGCUUUCAGCAGGGGCGAAGCUUGUGGUGACGGUACCUGCAGAAGAAGCACCGGCUAACUACGUG